rnacentral:rRNA from 1 species
UACGGAGGAUGCAAGCGUUAUCCGGAAUGAUUGGGCGUAAAGCGUCCGCAGGUGGCUGUGUAAGUCUGCUGUUAAAGCGUGAGGCUCAACCUCAUAAGAGCAGUGGAAACUACACAGCUAGAGUGCGUUCGGGGCAGAGGGAAUUCCUGGUGUAGCGGUGAAAUGCGUAGAGAUCAGGAAGAACACCGGUGGCGAAGGCGCUCUGCUAGGCCGCAACUGAUACUGAGGGACGAAAGCUAGGGGAGCGAAUGGG